GACAGCAGUCGCCGCGGGAAUACGUAGGGUGCGAGCGUUAAUCGGAAUUACUGGGCGUAAAGCGUGCGCAGGCGGUUGUGUAAGACAGGUGUGAAAUCCCCGGGCUUAACCUGGGAACUGCGCUUGUGACUACACAGCUAGAGUAUGGCAGAGGGGGGUGGAAUUCCACGUGUAGCAGUGAAAUGCGUAGAGAUGUGGAGGAACACCGAUGGCGAAGGCAGCCCCCUGGGCCAAUACUGACGCUCAUGCACGAAAGCGUGGGGAGCAAACAGGAUUAGAUACCCGCGUAGUCCUGUCUCUUAUACA
rnacentral:rRNA from 1 species